AGAGCUCAGAAUUAGCAGAGUCAAGAAUCAAGCCGAGGCAGGCAGUCUGGCUCCUGAGUCUGUGCAGUCACCCCAGGAACUGAAGUCUGAGUCUUUGAACGCCAUGUGGGAACAAAGAUGGUUUGACUCAGCUGUGUGGUGUGCGAACGAAGAUGAGUUGAUGUAGCUGUGACCUCUGCGGAGGCAGAAGGCGAGGAACUAAGGCACCGAAGAAACUACAAUGAUGAGAUAUGGUGCCCAUCCUUAUGGAACUUACAUCUGGUUGAGG